CCUACGGGUGGCAGCAGUGAGGAAUAUUGGUCAAUGGCCGUAAGGCUGAACCAGCCAAGUCGCGUGAAGGAAGAAGGAUCUAUGGUUUGUACACUUCUUUUAUAGGGGAGUAAAGGUAUCCACGUGUGGAUAUUUGCAUGUACCCUAUGAAUAAGCAUCGGCUAACUCCGGGCCCGCAGCCGCGGUAAUACGGAGGAUGCGAGCGUUAUCCGGAUUUAUUGGGUUUAAAGGGUUCGUAGGUUGUUUUUUAAGUAAGUUGUGAAAGUUUGCGGCUCAACCGUAAAAGUGCAAUUGAUACUGGCAGCCUUGAGUACAGUUGAGGUAGGCGGAAUUCGUGGUGUAGCGGUGAAAUGCUUAGAUAUCACGAAGAACUCCGAUUGCGAAGGCAGCCUACUAAACUGCCACUGACAUUGAUGCUCGAAAGUGUGGGUAUCAAACAGGAUUAGAUACCCGAGUAGUC
rnacentral:rRNA from 1 species